rnacentral:misc_RNA from 1 species
AUUGAUUAUCAGAAUCACUGAUGACAGGAACACCUGUGGAUAAUUGCAACCUUUGCAGCAACGACCUGUUCCCAACUAAGGUUGCCCGAGCUUUAUCAAUCAAAUCCUGUUUAGCUGCAAGUAGCUCACGACACUGCUCCUUCAAGCUGGACAUUUCAUCCUGAACUUUCUUAAUCCUCGAAACUAGCUUCAUGGGGUUCGCAUUAUCAGGAUAAACUUGUCGAAAUUCCUUCUCGAGCUUGUUCUGAACCAUGUUCAGGUCAUGGUUGGCUUUGGUGAAAAGGGUCAAUAACCCAUCUACUGAUUGAUGUUGUUCGUUCUCUAAAU